rnacentral:misc_RNA from 1 species
CGCCGGAAGUGCUUCCUCCUCUCCAUUUUUCGCCAACGCCACCAGAUCCAGAGCGUCAGAAUGAAGAAAGUGACCAGAAUUCCAGAGGUCUGCAGAAGCGGCGUUUCAAUUCCCAGUCUUCAUCGGACCGCGCACCGGUUCACGCUCGCCUGGGGCCGCGCGUCCAACACUGCUCGGCGGCUGGCCGCGUUUUCCCUGCUGAUACGGUUACUGCUCUGGUGACGCCUGCAAUCCAGUCGGUCUCUUCCUUAAUGGCAGUUGAUGCCUCGCUUCCGACGCGGAUUGACCCAGCUGAUGAUGCCUCGUUUCCGACGCUGAGUGCUCCAGUUGAUGCGCCAGCUCUCCCU